UACGUAGGGGGCAAGCGUUGUCCGGAAUCAUUGGGCGUAAAGCGCGUGUAGGCGGCCAGAAAAGUCCGCUGUGAAAACUCGAGGCUCAACUUCGAGCUGUCGGUGGAAACUUUCUGGCUAGAGUCCGGAAGAGGAGAAUGGAAUUCCUGGUGUAGCGGUGAAAUGCGCAGAUAUCAGGAAGAACACCCGUGGCGAAGGCGGUUCUCUGGGCAUGUCCUGACGCUGAGGAGCGAAAGUGUGGGGAGCGAACAGG
rnacentral:rRNA from 1 species